CAGUAGCCGCGGUAAUACGUAGGUGGCAAGCGUUAUCCGGAAUUAUUGGGCGUAAAGCGCGCGUAGGCGGUUUUUUAAGUCUGAUGUGAAAGCCCACGGCUCAACCGUGGAGGGUCAUUGGAAACUGGAAAACUUGAGUGCAGAGGAGGAAAGUGGAAUUCCAUGUGUAGCGGUGAAAUGCGCAGAGAUAUGGAGGAACACCAGUGGCGAAGGCGACUUUCUGGUCUGUAACUGACGCUGAUGUGCGAAAGCGUGGGGAUCAAACAGGAUUAGAUACCCCAGUAGUCCCUGUCUCUUAUAC
rnacentral:rRNA from 1 species